CUGCUCUCCCCGGGAGCUGGGGAGCCGGGGGCGGGCAGCCGCGUCUGUCCUGCCCCUCCUCGCCCCCUCCCCCGCAGCCUGAGGAGGGCGUUAAGCAAGGGGCUUCGGAGAAAUUAGAACCAGCGUUCUAAAUUAAGGGGAGCAGAUGUCCUUGUUUUGCUCGCGAGGCCUGGGUGGCCUGCUGUUCAGACAGAAAUCGUUGAGGCGCUGACCUUCCGGGACUGCUGUCAAUCUCCGCGUGCAGAUGGCCAGCCCGGAGCCUCGCCGCUCCCCUGCAUUGGAAAUGCGGCAGCCGGGGGUGCCGGCAGCUUGAGAGAAAAGUCUGCGUGGAGGGGGGGUGGGGGGGAUGAGGGGAGGCCCGGGGAGACAGAGGGCAGGAGAAAAAGGCCGGCCCCGCUCACAAUGGAGCCCCUGUGGCGGCCCCUCCGAGACAAUGCGGUCCCCCGGGACCCGCGGUGGGUUGCGCCAGGCCAGUCCGCGCUCCAGCUGCCUCUUCAGAACAAGGCAGUGCAAAUGUGCCCACUUGAUUCUAAAUCCUCUUAGGCGCUGUCCAUGUGAACAAGGAAAGGGGUGGCCCUACGAUCCUUUACAAUCGGAGGCCUGGGGAGGCCUGGGAGCCCUGGAGCUCCGGAAAAUGUCUGCACCACGCAUGCAAAUGGGUCAUUUCGCUUGGAGAGAGGCAUCUGGCGACAUCGGCAGAAAGGCUCUCUGCCCGGUAGACGGUGAACAAAACCCACAAAACCAGCCAGCCAACAGCGUGCACUAAACACCCCUCUCUGGCCCUUCAAUGCCACCCGGAGUCCUGAAACAUUUUCAGGUUGUUUCCCCUGGAGAGACGUCCCAUGAAAUGUUCAGAAAAGCCAGCUGAGCUGUGCAAAGUCAUUAGUCACCCAGCGUAUCCUGUGGCAUACAGUUUUUAUUCAAGGCUGGCUUGUAUAUAUCAUAUUUAUACAGCGACAAGAACUUUUGAAAUACAAGUUAAGAACUUUAAGGAGAAAAAAACGUUCUUAUUGGAAGCAAAUGAAACAGAAAUUCCAAGUUAAAGCCAAAAGUCAUCCUGAACAUGCUUUUAUUCCAAUGGUAUUACUUAACAGCAAAGUGUUAUAUUACCCUUGAAUUUCCUGCCUAAGCUAAGGGUAGGCCAGGCCCUUGAUGCUGCUUAAAUUGUUCCAUGUAUCCCAACUAUAUCACAAGCAAUGCCAUCACACUUGACUUGUGCCUGAUCUCCAACUUGUCAGUUAGUCAAGAAGGAGGAAAGAAUCUGUUUCCCGUGCACACACUGUAAUUUUUUUUUCCAGUGUUGCUAAGCCUGCCAGAACAAAAGUAAAACCACAAAACAAGAUUUAGAUCAGUGUCUUGAUCACCCUGUUGCUAUUUUACAGUUUUAGGAGGGUUGGACAUCAAACACUUGAAACUGUCAUCUACAUAUUCCUUCUCAGAAUAAGGAAGCACUGGCAUGUACCCCUGCUAAAUUAUUCUCUACCCCCAAAUGUUGGAAACUUUCUCUCCAGGAAAAUGCUCUACAGAAGGCACGUUGAAUUAAUGGAGUUAGUUCUGAGAAAGGUUCUUACUGUCUAAGAUGAACUGUCAUAUGCUGACUUCCGGCCAGGUGGACUCGACGCCUUAGCAGGAAUGUUGCUUAGACAUUUAGCUUUUUCUAAUUUGUUUGCUAUUAUAAACAGUGCUUGAGAAACCUAAAGUACACCCCCACCUAAAAUUACUAUCACGUCGAUUUGUUUAUCUUCUUUAUAAUUGCUUAUCCCAACUGAAUGUUUCAUAGCUUGCAUGCUUGUUUAUGUUCUACUUUCUUUCUCGGGAUCAUGACUUGGGCAUGACACAAGUUACCUCUUCUAUCUUGUUUAUUACCACGUAGUAAGGACUCAGGAAAUAUUUUUGAAUGAAUGAGUAUAUCUUUCAUGCACAUGUAUUUUACUGUUGUACAAUUAUCUUCUUAAGAUAAAUCUUUUGAGUAGUCAAAUUCAUAGACACAGAAAGUAGGAUGGUGGUUGACAGGGGCUAGGGUGGUGGGGGGAGUGAGAAAUUAGUGUUUGAUUAUUUACUUUUAUUUUAUUACUAUUAUUACUUUUGAGAGAGGGUCUCACUGUUGUCCAAGCUGGAAUACAAUGGCGUGAUCAUGGUUUACUGCAACCUCAAACUCCUGGACUCAAGCAGUCCUCCUGCCUCAGCCUCCCAAGUAGCUGGAACUAUAGAUGCACAUCACCACACCCAGCUAAUUUUUUUUAAAUUAUUUUUUGUAGAGACAGGUCUCACUAUGUUGCCCAGGCUGGUCUCAAGGGAUCCCCUGCCUUUGCCUCCCAAAGUACUGGGAUCACAGGCAUGAACCACUGCACCUGGCUGAGAGUUAGUGUUUAAUAGGUGCAAAGCUUCAGUUGGGGAAGAUUAAAAAAAAGUUCUGGAGAUGGACGGUGGUGAUGAUUGCACAACGUGAAUCUACUUCAUGCCACUGGGCUGCACACUUACAAAUGGUUACAAUGUUAGUUGCCUCACAGCCUGAACAAGUAAAAUGGAAGCUGUAAUUAACCUUAAAAAUAUAUAUGUGUCUGAGAUAUAAUUGUAUAUAAGUAUAUGUAUACAGACAUGUAAACUAUUUGUUAAAAAAGAAACUAGAACAAAAAUAUUUUACAUUUACCUGGAAAAUGGUUAAAAUGGUAAAUGUUAUAGUAUGUAUAUUUUACUACAAUAAAAAUGAAUAAAUUUGUUGAAUUGCCAUUCUUGGGCUAAGGGUAAGUGUGCAUAUUUUAAGCUGUGGUAUAUAUUUUGAGACUGCCCUUCAGAAGAAUGAUGCCAAUUUACAUAAAAAACAACUAUAAGGGCAUGAGAAUACCCAUUUCAAUGGUAGGUUUUCUCAGUCUCUUUAUUCUUUGUAUUUGAUAGGCAAAGACAAAGACACACACACAGACACAUACACACACACUUUACUGUUUUAUUAUUUUAUGUGUGAAUAUUAAUAUAGUUGAAACUUAAGAUUGAAUAUUGUUUUAUAUGUUUGGCAUUUCUUCUUUUAUAAGCAGGCUACAUGUAUCUUUUCCCAUUUUUAUGGGGCUCUUUACUUCCUUUUAUUGAUUUGUAGGAGCUCUGUGUAUAGUAAAGGUAUUAAUUCGGUCCAUCAUAUCAUUUGCAAAUAAUUUUUCUCCAGUUCUUUAUUUCUGCGUAAAUGUCAUUUGUGAUCUUUUGCCAUAGGAAAUUUAAAAUUAUAUAUUGUAUCAAGAUAAUCUUUGGGUAAGAAAAUUCCUCGUUCCAAGAUUAUGAAAGUAUUCAUCUGUGUUUUCACCGAGUACAUUUCUGGCUUUGUUUGAUGCAUCUGUAUGUCGAUAAUAAGGAAUCAGGUAAAGAUAUAACUGAAUUGUUCUUCUUGCAAAUCCAUUAUUUUAUCAUAAUUUGUUAUAUAAUCCAUGCUUUCUAUCGGUUAUUUGAAAUGUCAUCUUUUCUUUAUAAUAAGUAACCAUAUUCUUAGGUCUAUUUCACUGAUCUGUCUAUUCCAGCACCUAGGCCAUGCUGUUUUACUUACAGUGAAAGCUAUUAUACCAAUCUAUCUAGAUGGUAUUUGUUGCCAUAAAUCCUCGAUUAGUGAGUCACCUCUGUGUUUGGGAAUUAAUGGAUGAUUGGAAAAUUUUUAAGUUAUAUGUAAUCAUUAAUUGGAAAGGCCGAGUGAGAUCAAGAAUUUUCUGUAAAUGGGAAUCGGCAAGUGUGUUAGAGGUAGCUCCCUAGAAGGACCAGAAUGGUAGAAGGAGAACCAUCACUUCUUGGCAGAGCAGGACACCUGGCACAGUGUCAGGCUUUGUACUUAGAUCCAACGUAUUUCCCCACGCUAGAUUCACUUAGCAACCAGUGUGUUGGAUGGCAAGCUGGUGGGCUUUGCCCUCUUGAUAGUGAAUGCUGUCUCUGCCACCUACUAGGUGUGCGAUCUUAGGUAAGUCACUUAACCAAUCUGCAUUCCGAGACUCAUGGCAGCUAUCCAAUAUGAUUGUUAUAAAGAUUAAACAAUACAUUUAAAUGCACUCUGAAAGUGAUCAUAUUGAAAUAUUGAUCGUCAUUAUUUUUACUUCUACUACUGUUGGGGAGGGAUGCUUCCCUCCCAUGUCUUCAUGCUUGUGCCCAUUCACCUGCCUCCUGGCCUUGCUGCUUCUCAUGAGACAGAGUUCUCCAAGGAAGCGCUGCUAUCAGGACAGUCAGACUCAGAGGCCACCUGUUGACCUCCUUUGAUGAUGGAUGGGAUUGCUACUUGCAAUGUGAUGGACACUCCAGGAAUCUCCCUUCUGAUCCGCCUCUUUCGGGAUACUGCUACUGCUGGCUUCCACAGUUAGGUCAGGGUUGUGCUCUACCUAACAAGCCUUCCUUCAUCCUCUCUUUUUCCUCUAAAAACAUUCUUAAUGUGUUAGUACCAUGAUUUUUAUUUUCUUGCAAGGGAUGUCUUGGUGGUGGAUUAGGAGGUCUGUUUGGCCUUAAGUCUCAACCGCAGGCUCCAACGCAGCUUAACCAGCGAGCAUCUGUUGGGGGCAAUUGGGAAAUAACAAUACAGUGGUAAUUUGAUUGCUAUUCCUUCUGUGUUUUUCGACUCACUCCCCUUGUGUGUUAUUACACACAAUCAAACCUCAUGGGAGGAGGACCGAUUGACAGGGGAUUUGGGCAUUCCUAGUUCUCCAGCACAAAUACCAUCCUGACCGUCAAACCCUCACCUCUCUAACCUCUGACCUCUAUCAAUGACCAAUCCUUAGCAUGGAUCAAUUACUCCCAUAAGGAGGAUAUUCUGCACAGUACCCAUAGUAAGAGUUCAUAAUAACAAACCCAUGUUUGUUAUUAUGAUUGCUACUGCUUUUAGUUGCUACUGAGCAUACAGAAAGCACAGAAGUGGUGUGCUCUGUGAAAGAGGGUAGCUCAGUGCCCAGGUCUCCAUCAUUGUAACCUUGGCCUUCUGCCUGACUCCUUGCCCUUCAUAUGGUCUUCUCUCUGGCCCCUCAGGCCUGGGACUGAAUACCUGGCUCUCCCUUGAUCAUCUGCCGUCUGAAUCCAGCCCAUUUUUAAACCAGUCCCUGCCUUUCCUUCUUGGGUUUGCCUGUGUGCCUCUGCCUUUUAUCUCCAUUUCUCAGGCAGCUUGCCCUGGUCAAUAAAAGAAAGCUGAAUGACUGUUCAAGGCAUCCUGGGUCAGAACAGAAAGGUGAGAGCUUCAAGGCCAUCAGGGAGUUCUGUGAGGUGCAGGCAUGCUGUAAAUGGUAGGCCUGGGGACUCUGACAACUGCACGGCCUGCUCUUAUUAUAAGAAGGCUGCUGCAAUCCUCAGGCAAUGUCCAAUCAUUAGUUUAAUGAGCAUUUACAUUUAUUGAAUAUGUGUGCCACAUGCUG
rnacentral:lncRNA from 10 species